rnacentral:rRNA from 1 species
GAUCAUGGCUCAGGACGAACGCUGGCGGCGUGCCUAACACAUGCAAGUCGAACGGAGUAAGGGUUUCGAUUCUUACUUAGUGGCGAACGGGUGAGUAACGCGUGAACAACCUGCCUUUCUGAGGGGGAUAACACCUGGAAACAAGUGCUAAUACCGCAUAAGACCACAUGUCCGCAUGGACGAGGGGUCAAAGGAGCGAUCCGCAGGGAGAGGGGUUCGCGUCCCAUUAGCUAGUUGGCGGGGCAACGGCCCACCAAGGCGACGAUGGGUAGCCGAGCUGAGAGGCUGAUCGGCCACACUGGAACUGAGACACGGUCCAGACUCCUACGGGAGGCAGCAGUGGGGAAUAUUGGGCAAUGGGCGCAAGCCUGAACCCCAGCAACGCCGCGUGAGGGAAGAAGGUCUUCGGAUUGUAAACCUCUGUCCUAUGUGACGAAGGAAGUGACGGUAGCAUAGGAGGAAGCCCCGGCUAACUACGUGCCAGCCGCGGC